rnacentral:tRNA from 1 species
GGGCGUAUAGCUCAGUUGGUUAGAGCGCGUCACUGAUAAUGACGAGGUCCCAAGUUCGAAUCUUGGUACGCCCACAA